CCUACGGGUGGCAGCAGUCGAGAAUCAUUCACAAUGGGGGAAACCCUGAUGGUGCGACGCCGCGUGGGGGAAUGAAGGUCUUCGGAUUGUAAACCCUUGUCAUGUGGGAGCAAAUUAAAAAGAUAGUACCACAAGAGGAAGAGACGGCUAACUCUGGGCCAGCAGCCGCGGUAAUACAGAGGUCUCAAGCGUUGUUCGGAAUCACUGGGCGUAAAGGGUGCGUAGGCGGUUUCGUAAGUCGUGUGUGAAAGGCGCGGGCUCAACCCGCGGACGGCACAUGAUACUGCGAGACUAGAGUAAUGGAGGGGGAACCGGAAUUCUCGGUGUAGCAGUGAAAUGCGUAGAUAUCGAGAGGAACACUCGUGGCGAAGGCGGGUUCCUGGACAUUAACUGACGCUGAGGCACGAAGGCCAGGGGAGCGAAAGGGAUUAGAUACCCGAGUAGUC
rnacentral:rRNA from 1 species